CAGGGGGUAGUUUAUUUUAAAAUGUUAACUUUGGAGGUUAUUGAUGAGAUAUGUUCUUCCCUUUGA
rnacentral:tRNA from 1 species